rnacentral:rRNA from 1 species
CCCGCCAAUUCCUUUAAGUUUCUCCGGUUGAUCCUGCCAGAGGCCACUGCUAUCGGAGUUCGAUUAAGCCAUGCGAGUCGAGAGGUGCAAGACCUCGGCAUACUGCUCAGUAACACGUGGACAACCUACCCUAUGGAGGGGGAUAACCCCGGGAAACUGGGGAUAAUACCCCAUAGACUAUGGAUGCUGGAAUGCUUUGUAGUUGAAAGGUCCGCCGCCAUAGGAUGGGUCUGCGGCCCGAUUAGGUUGUUGUUGGGGUAACGGCCCAACAAGCCCUGUAAUCGGUACGGGUUGUGGGAGCAAGAGCCCGGAGAUGGAUUCUGAGACACGAAUCCAGGCCCUACGGGGCGCAGCAGGCGCGAAAACUUUACAAUGCGGGAAACCGUGAUAAGGGAACUCCGAGUGCCCGUAAAAUCGGGCUGUCCAUCUGUGUAAAUAACAGGUGAAGAAAGGGCCGGGCAAGACCGGUGCCCGCCGCCGCGGUAAUACCGGCGGCUCGAGUGGUGGCCACUAUUACUGGGCUUAAAGCGUUCGUAGCUGGUCUGUUAAGUCUCUGGGGAAAUCUACUGGCUUAACCAAUAGGCGUCUCAGGGAUACUGGCAGACUAGGGACCGGGAGAGGUGAGAGGUACUCCAGGGGUAGGAGUGAAAUCCUGUAAUCCUAGAAGGACCACCGGUGGCGAAGGCGUCUGACUAGAACGAAUCCGACGGUGAGGGACGAAGCCCUGGGGCGCAAACGGGAUUAGAUACCCCGGUAGUCCAGGGUGUAAACGCUGCGGGCUUGGUGUUGGGGGUCCUUUGAGGGCGCCCAGUGCCGGAGAGAAGUUGUUAAGCCUGCUGCUUGGGGAGUACGUCCGCAAGGAUGAAACUUAAAGGAAUUGGCGGG